UCACCUUGUCAGCUGUAUCUAUCGUCACCAACUUAUCGCAUGGUUGGCAAGGGAAAAGUGCACAAUACUUCGGGUGAAUUACUUCACCAUAAUCCCCUCCCGGUGGGAUUUAUGAAAGUUUCGGUUGACCUCGUAUUAGAUACGGACGCCCGUCUACCAUUACCCGACGUUGUUUCAGAGACAACGUUGAUGCGAGAUGCAGUCGGAUUCUUUGUUGGUUGGCCGUCAGAUCUAAUUUUCCCUGAUGCCGAGGUAUAUAUGUUCUAAAUGAUUAUGAAUAUUUAGUAUUCACAUUUCAAUUCAGCUACAAUUAUGAUAUUUAAUCAACCCUUAUUACAUGGUAAUGUUAGACUCCUACAAGACCCACCCCUAAAGCUGGUAAAGGGAUUUCAAGACGCAUCGAGUCGGUUGCAUCUCAAAAAGAGGUUCCCGGUCGAAAGUUGAAAAGCGAUGGUAAGGAUAUUCCAACGAAGGAUAUUCCAACGACGGCCGGGACAAAAUCUCAAAUUAUGAUGCGUCUUGAGAAAAUGGUGGAAGAGUCCGAUAUUAUGGACGGGUCCAUUCGUAGUGUAGAUUUUGAUGAAGGUGUUUUCGGAUUUGCUCAUUCCGAAAUAAUUGCAAAGGAGGACAUGCAACAACUUUUUGAGCACGACGAAUUGGGCAUCGCUAUCAUUCAUACAUACAUAUGGUAUAUGUAUGACAAAUUGAUGCGGGGAACUGAAUUGUGUAACCGUUUCAAUUUUAUUGCUGCUUCCCGUGUCAACGCAACGUUAAUAUCGAAAAAUCCAACAUCCGUAAAGAAUGAUCUAGUCGAUAGAUUCAUGGCGGCCGGCGAUAAUACUACACGCAGUUUGUUUUUUUUACCGUUUAAUUCUGGCAA